rnacentral:rRNA from 1 species
UACGUAGGGACCAAGCGUUGUUCGGAUUUACUGGGCGUAAAGGGCGCGUAGGCGGCAAUUCAAGUCAUCUGUGAAAUCUCCGGGCUUAACUCGGAACGGUCAGGUGAUACUGCUUUGCUAGAGUGCGGAAGGGGCAAUCGGAAUUCUCGGUGUAGCGGUGAAAUGCGUAGAUAUCGAGAGGAACACCUGAGGUGAAGACGGGUUGCUGGGCCGACACUGACGCUGAGGAGCGAAAGCGUGGGGAGCGAACAGG